GAACUUAUUCAACAUUUGCAACAAACAUAAAUCUGGAAGAGGCAGCGCCCAUUGACCAGGAACCUGAUUCUUGCAUUAUUUGCCAGGAGGAUUAUAAGAACCAAGAGAAAAUCGGAAGUCUUGAUUGCGGACACGAGUAUCAUGCGGGUUGCUUAAGGAAGUGGCUGCUUGUGAAGAAUGUAUGUCCUAUCUGCAAAUCUGAGGCAUUAGCCACAGCGUCCAAGGAUGUAUAAAACAUGGGGUGAGUUUAUCCAGCAAAGGUAAUAAAUUACAUAAAAUGGUUGAUGGUGGCAGAAUCAAUCAGGGGAAGCUCUCCCAGAUGUCUUAUGAUUAAUCUGUUUACUAUAAACUAAAUUGAUAUUUUGUCGAAUAUUUUGUACAUGGAACUUGCAGAUAUCUAACAGACAGUCAAUCAUUUAUUCUGUUGGCUCUGUAAUUAUCAACAAUUGUACAGACUCUCAUUAUGCAGUCUCAUGCUGUAAUAUUGACUUUCAACUAUAA